rnacentral:tRNA from 1 species
CGGGGAUUGGCGCAGAUGGCUAGCGCGUACGCAUGGGGUGCGUGAGGUCGUCGGUUCAAGUCCGACAUCCCCGA